UACAGAGGGGGGCUAGCGUUGUUCGGAAUUACUGGGCGUAAAGGGCGCGUAGGCGGUCCUGAUCGUCGGAUGUGAAAGGCCUGGGCUCAACCUGGGAAUGGCAUCCGAUACGGCGGGACUGGAGUGUGGGAGAGGUUGGUGGAAUUCCCAGUGUAGAGGUGAAAUUCGUAGAUAUUGGGAAGAACACCGGUGGCGAAGGCGGCCAACUGGACCACAACUGACGCUGAGGCGCGAAAGCGUGGGGAGCAAACAGG
rnacentral:rRNA from 1 species